ACCCGCUGAACUUAAGCAUAUCAAUAAGCGGAGGAAAAGAAACUAACAAGGAUUCCCCUAGUAACGGCGAGUGAAGCGGGAAGAGCUCAAAUUUAAAAUCUGGCGGUGUACUCCGUCCGAGUUGUAGUCUAGAGAAGCAUCAUCCGUGCCGGACCAUGUACAAGUCUCUUGGAACAGAGCGUCGUAGAGGGUGAGAAUCCCGUCCUUGACAUGGACUCCCGGUGCUUUGUGUUGAGCUCUCAACGAGUCGAGUUGUUUGGGAAUGCAGCUCAAAAUGGGUGGUAAAUUCCAUCUAAAGCUAAAUAUUGGCGAGAGACCGAUAGCGAACAAGUACCGUGAGGGAAAGAUGAAAAGCACUUUGGAGAGAGAGUUAAACAGUACGUGAAAUUGUUGAAAUGGAAACGAUUGAAGUCAGUCGCGUUCUCUGGGAUUCAGCCUUGCUUCUGCUUGGUGCAUUUCCUAGUCUACGGGCCAGCAUGGAUUUCGACCGUUGGAAAAGGGCUGGGGGAAUGUGGCACCUUCGGGUGUGUUAUAGCCCCUUGUCGCAUGCAUCGGUUGGGAUCGAGGACCUCAGUGCACGCUUCGGUUGUGCUUUGAUGCUGGCGUAAUGGCUUUAAACGACCCGUCUUGAAACACGG
rnacentral:rRNA from 1 species